GACGGAGGUCCCAAGCGUUGUUCGGAAUCACUGGGCUUAAAGCGCGUGUAGGCGGACAGGCAAGUACUUUGUGAAAUCCCCGGGCUCAACCCGGGAAUAGCUGGGUAUACUGCUUGUCUUGAGGCAGGUAGGGGUCACUGGAACCUUAGGUGGAGCGGUGAAAUGCGUAGAUAUCUAAGGGAACGCCUGUGGCGAAAGCGGGUGACUGGGCCUGCCCUGACGCUGAGACGCGAAAGCGUAGGGAGCAAACGGG
rnacentral:rRNA from 1 species